GUCGAUGCAUGGACGCAAUGCAUUAGUCAAAAGGAGAAGCUGAAGUUCAACCACAUGUUAGAGGAUCACAAAAAAGGGUUAUACCCCAAUUGCGAAGAUGGCAACACAAAGCUCGGUACCGUACUGGAAUUGCUGCAGUGGAAGGCAGAGAAUGCUGUGGCUGACAAAGGAUUUGAGAAGCUACUGAAAAUAUUGAAGAAGAAGCUUCCAAAGGAUAACGAAUUGCCCGACAGUACAUACGCAGCAAAGAAGGUCGUAUGCCCUCUAGGAUUGGAGGUGGAGAAGAUACAUGCAUGCCCUAAUGACUGCAUCCUCUACCGCGAUGCAUACAAGGAUCUAAACGCAUGCCCAGUAUGCGGUGUAUUGCGGUAUAAGAUCAGACGAGAUGACCCUGGUGAUGUUGACGGCGAGCCCCCCAGGAAGAGAGUUCCUGCGAAGGUGAUGUGGUAUGCUCCUAUAAUACCACGGUUGAAAUGUCUGUUCAAAAACGAAGAGCAUGCCAAGUUGAUGCGAUGGCACAGUGAGAACCGAAAGAAAGAUGGGAAGUUG
rnacentral:rRNA from 1 species